CUUGAGGAGAAACGUAUGCAAUUCAAAUAUCUCCCUUCCAAAUAGCAAUUUCAUCUCUUGCUUCAGUUUGAGGACAAAAGUAAUGAGAAUUGAAAGUGAACUUCCUGUUUAGGUGAGAGAAUUUAUUGAUUCAAUUUCUACUUUUAACAAAUUGGUACCAUCUAUGAAAAACUUGAAUAAAGUAGACCACAAAUUUCCAUGCUUUAAGCUAAGAAAUCCAUGAAAUCUAAUGAAUGAAACAAACAAGGAAAAGUCAAACAUUAACUGGAGUGCUGAAGAAUGAGAAUCCGAAGAUGACUCAGACCAAUACAGAGUAAACUCGGCAGCAGAGACUAUUCGAAAGAUAAACAAAGGUCUGAAAGCACAAUGAUGAGAAACGCUGCUCUGCUCUGGAAGGUUUAUAGGUAAUACACAAUUCUUGACCCUUCAAUUUUAUCUAUCAAACUUAGAAUUAAAAUUUCAAGAAUUGGAGAUGAAGUAGUCAUAAUCGAGGUAGCAAUAGCAGUGAAUGUUUUCACUGUAUACUCCUGAAUAAUAAAAGCACAAAAAGUGCUAUACAAUGAAGAAUUCGACUGAAUAAAAAAAAAAAAAAAAACCCUUAGAUCCUUGUGUCGAAUCCUCACCACUUUACUAGAGGAGACCCCGUCGCUGAUAGGCUACUUUUUUAGUGAAUAUAGGAGAGGAGAACCAGGAAUACCAAGAAUACAUGAACUUUGACAUCAUCAAGGGUAAAUCUACGUACGACAAAGUCCUUGGACAACCUAACCUGAAGUAGACGACCAUAGUUAUCUCCCUCUAUCAUUUGCAUAUGAGAUACUCCACGAAUAAAGGUGAAGUGUCUUUAAAGUAAAAUGAAUGGAUCUUAUGUAGGAACUGCAAAAGCAACAAAAAAAUGAGGUCUGAGAGCUCCUAAGAUUAUCAUCGUUGUAGUUGAAAUGAGUAACCUCGAGGAUAAACUAGAAAUUGAUGACUCUAAAGACCCCGCAUAACUGAGUGUACAUCAGAAGCAACAAUGAUCGAAGUGCUAGAAAGUUUAUCUGUUAGCUCAAAAGAUUCGAGUAGAGCUCUAAAAAUCGGUAAGGACUUAAGUGAACCUAUGAAAGGCUUGCUAUAAACUUCAUAGCUUUGAACCUGGAUGCGUUCACCUGGAAACAUACAAAAAUGAUAGGGAUCGAUCCUGAAGUUUCCUAUCAGAAAAUGGCUUUAUCUGCGAAGUUCACUACCCAGUUUAGAUAUGCAAUCCGAUUCUAGAUUUUAUGGAUUUGAAUAAAGCUUGUUCUAAAAGACUAGUUUUCGUUCCUUGAAAUUCAUUAGCUAGUAGAUGCUACAAAGUGAUGUCAUUUUGGGCUAAAAAAUGUGGAGGACUACGUAUCAAAUGCUAGUGAACAAAAUGUUCGCAAACCAAAUAGAGAAAACAAUGGAAGCGUACGACGAUAUGCCUAUAAAAAGCCUUCAGGCUAGAGGGUAUUUGAAACACUUAAAAGAGCCUUUCAAUGUAUUGCAAAAGUACAGAAUGAAACUCAAUUCAUUAAAAUGCAUGUUUGGAAUAAAAUCUAGAAAGCUCUUUAGUAAUAUGGUCAAUCAGCAAGGUAUUGAAGUGAACUUCAACAAAAUUCGCCCUCAAAAAAUGCAGUCCCCAUCUAACCCAAAAGAUGUGCAAAGCUUAACAGUGAUGGUCGUCACCCUAAGUAGGUUUGUAUCUUGAGUAAUAGACAAAUGUUCUUCUUUUUCAAGUGCUGAAAGGAGGAAAGAAAUAUAUGAACAUGAAUUCCAAGCGUUAAAAGAUCACCUGGGAAAAGCAUCUCUAUAAGCUAAACCUGAGAACCAAAAAAAAAAAACUAUUGCUAUAUCUAACAGUAUCCAAGGCAACGGUCAACUUGGUACUCGUAAAAGAAGAAGGGCACUGAUUGGAAGCACAAUUGACCUUUUUUUAGUCACUCGAGGAGAAUAAGAUGAGUAGAAGAAUGAGCCAAAGACAACUAACCCUCUAACCUAAGCACAAUAGUAAUAAACGAAAUCUUAAAAAGCUGAAAAUGUUUCUGGAAACAAGUAAACAAAGGUGAAACCUUGGCUUCUUUUUCUUACCCUUACUAUGUAAAUAAAGUCUUGUAAGGACUAGAUGUAAGAUAUUCGAAUAUGAAAAAGUUGGCCUUUACCUUAGUUACGAUGUUGCAAAAGCUGCGACCCUAUUUCUAGAGCUAUAGCAUUGCAGUAUUAACAAAUUUCCCACUCAAACAAGUGUUGCAAAAGCCUAACGUGUCAGGAAGAUUAACGAAAUUGAUAGUAGAGGUGGGACAAUUUGAGAAAAAAACUAUUAAGGAUGAUCCGUAGCUAAGCACUUGCAUUAGCUGACUUUAUUGCAGAAUUGUCAGAUGUUCCUAUCCCUGAGAAAGAGCUAGAACAGGGAACAUAGAAUUUGUCUGUGGAUGGAUUAUCGGGAGAUAGAGCACAAAUUGAAUUACGCAUCAAAAUUCACAUUUGAAGCAACUAAUAAUGUGGGCUGAAUAUGAAGCACUAUUGGUAGGCCUAUGGCUGGCAAAAGAAAUGCAUGCUCGAAAUAUUGAAAUAAAAAGUGACUCAUGGUUGUAAACCAAUUAAACGAGACAUUCACUUCCAAGGGUAAAAAAUGGUUGUAUAUCUCACGGAAGCCAUAAGGUUACUUUAGUAUUUCGACAAGUUUGAACUUACCUUAAUUCCUAGAAAGGAAAACGAGCAUGCAAAUGACUUGUUAAAAUUGGCAAAUUCAAAAGACGCAUAACUGUUUAAAAUAGUCUUCGUAGAAUUGUUUUCAGAACUAUCAAUUGGCCAAAAAAUAAAGAAAAUCCUAUGCAUACAAGGUAAAUGCAUGGAUUCAAGACAUCAUUUUUUUAAAGAUGGAGUACUCGUUGAAGAUACAAAGAUAGCCCAAAAAUUGUGAAUAAGAGCUGCUAGGUAUACACUGCAAGGUGAUAUCUUAUUCAAGUGAGUGUAUAGACUCCAUCUCUUUAGAUAUAUAAGCAAUGACAAGGCUUGGUAUGUGAUGAAGGAGAUCCACGAAGGCGUAUGUGGUAACCUCACUAAUGGACACUCUUUAGCAUAAAUGACCUUGAAAUAAGGAUGUUAUUAGCAUAAUAUGAGAAAGGAUGUAAUGAACUUUGCUAGGAAAUGUGAAAAAUGUCAAACGUUCACACCUAUUCUACGACAACCCUUACAAGAAUUGAUAAUCGGUAGUGGUCUCUGGCCCUUGGUGAUUUGUUUAACAUGCUUACUAUUAUGGUGAAUAUAGUGGGUGCAUCAUGUAAGCGUGUAGAUACUCUUCGAACAAGUUAUCAUUUUGAGAUUUUGAUGAAACUUAAUCUUGGGAAACUUUGAGGUGGCAGUAAUAAGUUUCAAAAAUGAGUUUGGCUCGACAUUAAAAGAUAAAGGCAUUUAUCCUGCCGAUCAAGUGGUGACAGAUAUUCAAGGAAAAAUUUCUUUCAUUGUCUACGACAACUCUUCAAAAGCCACAUUUGUAGCUACUGUGGUAGUUUCAUAAUAUUAAGUUUUUGUUCCAUUUAGAAUCUAGGCUUAUUCUAAUCGGUAAUAUAUUUUUGAGACAAAAAAUAUAUUACUCAAUUAUAUCUGGUACAGGAUGUCAAUGGGAGCAUACCUUUUUUCUAAAGGUCAUCUCGUUCUCUCCAAUUAUUAAGAAGUUGUGAGCCGUGACAAAUUGCGCCAUUUUCCAAAAGUAUUACAUUCUCAAACCUGUCAAAUGGAGAAUACAUAAAAGAAUUACAAUAAAGCUACAAGUACAGGGGUUGGUUCACAGGCUGCUUACAGGAUUUCAAAAAUUUCUUACGUGGCACUUUAAAAACAAACAAUCAAAUAAAAGGAAACAUGGCGGGGGAAAACACAAAUUUUUUUUCCCA
rnacentral:lncRNA from 1 species